UACAAUCUUUGUCCCCAUGUGCUGUACCCAGAGUUCUAGGUACAAAACAAAUAUUACAAAACAAGACAUACAGAACAAGGACAGGUAGAAAGAGGGUAGAUGUCACCCCUCCAUCCCCCCAACUGCUCGGGUGCCGGGGCAAGCACAUGCUGUCCAAAGUAGGUGGGAGAGCUCCAUCCUCAUUGGCCUGAACCAACAUUUUGUGCAGAUGGAUGGCUAGCAUUCGCCCUAUCCAAUGUUCACAGAAUGUUGGUUAUGUGAGGAGCUGAGGAUUCAACCUCCAGACCCUCUCGUUUG